rnacentral:rRNA from 1 species
UACGGAGGGUGCAAGCGUUGUUCGGAAUUACUGGGCGUAAAGGGCUCGUAGGUGGCCAACUAAGUCAACCGUGAAAUCCCUCGGCUUAACCGGGGAACUGCGUUUGAUACUGGAUGGCUUGAGUUUGGGAGAGGGAUGCGGAAUUCCAGGUGUAGCGGUGAAAUGCGUAGAUAUCUGGAGGAACACCGGUGGCGAAGGCGGCAUCCUGGACCAAUACUGACGCUGAGGAGCGAAAGCUAGGGGAGCAAACGGG